rnacentral:rRNA from 1 species
AACGAACGCUGGCGGCAGGCCUAAUACAUGCAAGUCGAACGAGAAAGUCCUUCGGGAUGAGUAGAGUGGCGCACGGGUGAGUAACGCGUGGGAAUGUACCUUAAGGUACGGGAUAACAGUUGGAAACGACUGCUAAUACCGUAUGAUGACUCCGGUCCAAAGAUUUAUCGCCUUAAGAUCAGCCCGCGUUGGAUUAGCUAGUUGGUGGGGUAAUGGCCUACCAAGGCAACGGUCCAUAGCUGGUCUGAGAGGAUGAUCAGCCACACUGGAACUGAGACACGGUCCAGACUCCUACGGGAGGCAGCAGUAAGGAAUAUUGGACAAUGGGCGCAAGCCUGAUCCAGCCAUGCCGCGUGAAUGAUGAAGGCCUUAGGGUUGUAAAGUUCUUUCGCCGGUGAAGAUAAUGACGGUAACCGGAUAAGAAGCCCCGGCUAACUUCGUGCCAGCAGCCGCAGUAA